AUACGCAACUCUAAAGGCACUCUGAUUGGGGUGUGUUUGUUGGGUGUUCUGACUCUCAUCAUCAGCUGGGGGUCUCUGGGACUGGAGCUGGCAGCUGCCGCGACGGCCAGCGACUUCUGUGUUUCCCCGGAUACCUACAUCACCAGGGUAACCAAGGAGAACGCUGUCAUCAACCAAGGUAGGGGAACGAGGGAAGGACAAAGCUGGAUGGAAGGAGUUGGAGAAAUGUGGGAACAGAAGGGGGGAAGAGGAGAGGCAGGGAAAAGAAGGGACUGAAAGAUAGAUAGAACAACUACAGGAACAACUACAGGAACAAGGGCAGGGAAUGAAGUAGAGGGGGAAGUGAUAGAUGGAUGGAUGGAUCUCCGUCCUCUGGGUUCCAUCUUUUUGACAGACAGGUCAAC